UAUAUUUUAGUAUAAGAUGUACAAAAGUUUUUGAUACUUUAGGAGACAGUUAAAUUCUGUUAAAUAUAA
rnacentral:tRNA from 1 species